rnacentral:tRNA from 5 species
GUCGUUAGCUCAGUUGGUAGAGCAGUUGACUUUUAAUCAAUUGGUCGCAGGUUCGGGUCGAACGCA